AACGAACGCUGGCGGCAUGCUUAACGCAUGCAAGUCGAACGAGACCUUCGGGUCUAGUGGCGCACGGGUGCGUAACGCGUGGGAAUCUGCCCUUUGCUACGGAAUAACUCAGAGAAAUUUGUGCUAAUACCGUAUAAUGUCGUAAGACCAAAGAUUUAUCGGCAAAGGAUGAGCCCGCGUAAGAUUAGCUUGUUGGUGGGGUAAAGGCCUACCAAGGCGACGAUCUUUAGCUGGUCUGAGAGGAUGAUCAGCCACACUGGGACUGAGACACGGCCCAGACUCCUACGGGAGGCAGCAGUGGGGAAUAUUGGACAAUGGGCGAAAGCCUGAUCCAGCAAUGCCGCGUGAGUGAUGAAGGCCUUAGGGUUGUAAAGCUCUUUUACCAGGGAUGAUAAUGACAGUACCUGGAGAAUAAGCUCCGGCUAACUCCGUGCCAGCCGCCGCAGUAACAC
rnacentral:rRNA from 1 species